AGAGUUUGAUCCUGGCUCAGGAUGAACGCUGGCGGCGUGCCUAAUACAUGCAAGUCGAACGAAACUUCUUUAUCACCGAGUGCUUGCACUCACCGAUAAAGAGUUGAGUGGCGAACGGGUGAGUAACACGUGGGCAACCUUCCCAAAAGAGGGGGAUAACACUUGGAAACAGGUGCUAAUACCGCAUAACCAUGGUUACCGCAUGGUAACUAUGUAAAAGGUGGCUAUGCUACCGCUUUUGGAUGGGCCCGCGGCGCAUUAGCUAGUUGGUGAGGUAAAGGCUUACCAAGGCAAUGAUGCGUAGCCGAACUGAGAGGUUGAUCGGCCACAUUGGGACUGAGACACGGCCCAAACUCCUACGGGAGGCAGCAGUAGGGAAUCUUCCACAAUGGGCGAAAGCCUGAUGGAGCAACGCCGCGUGGGUGAAGAAGGUCUUCGGAUCGUAAAACCCUGUUGUUAGAGAAGAAAGUGCGUGAGAGUAACUGUUCACGUUUCGACGGUAUCUAACCAGAAAGCCACGGCUAACUACGUGCCAGCAGCCGCGGUAAUACGUAGGUGGCAAGCGUUAUCCGGAUUUAUUGGGCGUAAAGGGAACGCAGGCGGUCUUUUAAGUCUGAUGUGAAAGCCUUCGGCUUAACCGGAGUAGUGCAUUGGAAACUGGGAGACUUGAGUGCAGAAGAGGAGAGUGGAACUCCAUGUGUAGCGGUGAAAUGCGUAGAUAUAUGGAAGAACACCAGUGGCGAAAGCGGCUCUCUGGUCUGUAACUGACGCUGAGGUUCGAAAGCGUGGGUAGCAAACAGGAUUAGAUACCCUGGUAGUCCACGCCGUAAACGAUGAAUGCUAAGUGUUGGAGGGUUUCCGCCCUUCAGUGCUGCAGCUAACGCAAUAAGCAUUCCGCCUGGGGAGUACGACCGCAAGGUUGAAACUCAAAGGAAUUGACGGGGGCCCGCACAAGCGGUGGAGCAUGUGGUUUAAUUCGAAGCUACGCGAAGAACCUUACCAGGUCUUGACAUCUUCUGACAAUCCUAGAGAUAGGACUUUCCCUUCGGGGACAGAAUGACAGGUGGUGCAUGGUUGUCGUCAGCUCGUGUCGUGAGAUGUUGGGUUAAGUCCCGCAACGAGCGCAACCCUUAUUGUUAGUUGCCAGCAUUAAGUUGGGCACUCUAGCAAGACUGCCGGUGACAAACCGGAGGAAGGUGGGGAUGACGUCAAAUCAUCAUGCCCCUUAUGACCUGGGCUACACACGUGCUACAAUGGACGGUACAACGAGUCGCAAGACCGCGAGGUUUAGCAAAUCUCUUAAAGCCGUUCUCAGUUCGGAUUGUAGGCUGCAACUCGCCUACAUGAAGUCGGAAUCGCUAGUAAUCGUGGAUCAGCAUGCCACGGUGAAUACGUUCCCGGGCCUUGUACACAAGGCCCGUCA
rnacentral:rRNA from 1 species